AGAGAGCCAAGACAAGCUUAAAAAACCAGUGGAAAUGCUUAGUCAAACUUUUGUGUUAACCUUUACUUGUAGAGGGAUGUUGGAUAAUGGGACAAGUGAAGCCAUAAAAGAGAUGGGGUUUUAGCAAAUGUGGGUUUUGUUUAGCUAGCGAGCUACCCGUCAAGAGUCUCUAGCUUUAUGGGAUUUGUCUGGAAGAAAGAGAGAAAGAGCUUGGAAUUAGUGAAAAGAUGUACAUGUAUAUGGAAAGAGGAGAGGGAUCCAAAGAGAGUUUUGAAGAAG
rnacentral:misc_RNA from 1 species